AUGGAGCAAUCAAAAAUUAUAGAUACGUUGGAGACGUAUCAUGCUGCACCAGCACCCAAAGCUCAGAAGCUCAUGGAAGAUGCAAUCAGAUCAGGGGCUGCUCCAUCUAAGCCCAAAGCUGCUCCCAAGGCUGCUACUCCAGCUCAAAAGCCCCCAAAACCCAAGAGAAGCACCAGGAACAUCCCUGCCGAGGAGAAGAACAAGGCCCCAGUGCCUGUAGCUGCUGAAGAAGAAGAUGAUGAUUCACAUGUUUUGAGAAAGCUGAAGCCCAAGAUACCUGACCACAAUGAUGCACAUCCAGUUGUAGAAAACAUGAAGAUCAGGAAGGAUGCAGGACUGAGGUUAUGGAGACAGUCUGAUCCAUAUGCUGUCAGGAGAAGAACUGUUGUUGACUACAGGUUUCACACUAAGGAACAGCAAGACUUUUAUGAGACAGUUUUGCUUGACAAGAAGCCCAUAGUGUGUGACAUGAGAUGGGUUGACUGGGAGUACAUCAAGGAGAAUGAAGAUCACUAUCCAGGUGUAUAUGACAGCUUCAAGGCAUGUGGAGUUGAUACAUUUGUUGCCGAGAAGCUCACCAAGUGGAAUGAUGAGCUGAUCAUGCAGUUUUACUCCACUGCCCACUUCUACCCAGAUGGAAAUAUCAUUUGGAUGUCUGAAGGUACAAGGUACCAAUCUUCUAUUGAAGAAUGGGCUCAGUUGAUCAAUGCUCCAGAAGAAAGUGAUGAUGACUUGGAUGUUUAUGCUGAGAGGAAGAAAGACCAUAACACUAUGGCCAACAUGUACAAAGAGAUUCCGGAUGAUGCUUUGGAUACUCAUAAGUUUGGACCUGUUCACUUCUUGUUAUCUGGUCUACCAACCAUCAACUGGAUACUAAGGCACACACUGCUACCCAAGUCAGGUGAUCACAAGAUGAUCAGAGGACAUGCUAUCAACUUGCUACAUUUGUGUGACGCCCCCGAUUCAAUCGUACACUAA
rnacentral:rRNA from 1 species